rnacentral:rRNA from 1 species
AUGACCGGCAAUGUCCAUCAUGAAGCCAAUGCAUUCGAUAUCAUUGAGUUCACCGGCCUGCCCACUCCUGGCGAACUCUUCGAGGAAGGCUGUCCACUACACACUGAAGCUCUUGAGAGCAUAUUCCAGAGGCCUAAACCAAAUAUGAGUCAGAUGCUCUCCAUGAUGAAGCCAUUGCCCCACGAUGCUCCUUAUCCAACAGAGUUCUUCGUUGAAGACUUUGAGUACCUGGCCAGAACCAUCUAUCACAUUAUCCGGCGGACUCUCUGGCCUAUUAAAGGGCACUCUCCAAAUGCCAAGAUCGAGGGUGCAAUGAAGACUCUGAUAUUCUGUAUCCUUCAUGGCAAAUGCUUCAACGCACAGGAUUUCUUCAUACGCCAACUAGCUGCAUCAGGCUCAGAUCUGUUUGGUUUAAAGUACUAUGCUCCUUGGGUAAUGAGACUGAUCAAGCUUCACUCUGCGAUCUCAUAUCAGCCCUCAGCCCGCAACCAUCGGAUCUUCUUGCCAGAUGUGGAUACCUCUGCUGAAGCUAUAUAUCCUGAGCCUGCCAAGCAACCUUUGAGUCUUCAGAAUGCAGAACACCAGAGCUUCACUCAGAACGAUGAAGGUGUUGAAGCCAUCUCCAGGGUGUAUCCUUUGGCUGGCACUACACGUGCGCCGCACCCUGCUUCAACUGAAGCCACUGAUAGUGCAACUGCUUCAAGACCCAAGAAGCGCGCUCGUGUUCUCAAUAACCGAGAGCUUCUUGUGGCCCUUCAUCAAAAACAAGAUAGGCAUCAUGACUGGCUAAAGCGUCAGAUGAAAAGCCUCUUGGUGGAUGUUAAUCGUCUUCGAAAUCUUGCCACCAAGAAUGCUUUCGUCACUCAUGAAACCUGUCGUCGUACAUGGAAAGGGCUAUCAAUGAUGUGUACUGAAGCUGAACUUGAAGAGGAUGGCUUCACUGAGCGAUUCAAGUUUGACACCACACCUCCUAGAAGGGCUGUGAUGCGAAACACACCAUCACUUGAAGACUCUGAGUUUUCUUCAUCUGCUGCCACAGUCACUGCCAGAAUCAUUGAUGAAGAAGACGAUGCUACAUCACCGCCACCUGCUUCAGCACCUCCAAGCUCUUCUGCACCGCCAAACACCUCCAACAACACUGCUGCUUCUGGGAACGAAUAG